rnacentral:rRNA from 1 species
UACCAGCUCUCCGAGUGGUGUGGAUGUUUAUUGGGCCUAAAGCAUCCGUAGCUGGCUGGGCAAGUCCCCUGUUAAAUCCACCGAUUUAAUCGUUGGUGUGCGGGGGAUACUGUUCGGCUAGGGGACGGGAGAGGCCGACGGUAUUUUCGGGGUAGGGGUGAAAUCCUAUAAUCCCGGGAAGACCACCAGUGGCGAAGGCUGUCGGCUAGAACGCGCCCGACGGUGAGGGAUGAAAGCUGGGGGAGCGAACCGGAUUAGAUACCCGGGUAGUCCCAGCUGUAAACGAUGCAGGCUAGGUGUUUGGGCGGCCACGUGCCGCUCUAGUGCCGCAGAGAAGUCGUUAAACCUGCCGCCUGGGGAGUACGGCCGCAAGGCUGAAACUUAAAGGAAUUGGCGGGGGAGCACCACAAGGGGUGAAGCUUGCGGUUU